GGUUAAGCGACUAAGCGUACACGUGGAUGCCUAGGCAAUCAGAGGCGAUGAAGGACGUGCUAAUCUGCGAUAAGCGUCGGUAAGGUGAUAUGAACCGUUACAACCGACGAUUUCCGAAU
rnacentral:rRNA from 1 species